rnacentral:lncRNA from 1 species
CUUGACGCUGGGUUCCGGCCUAGGGUUCUGGCUUUCCUCCUGGGCUAGUGAACGCGGCGAAGUCCUCCUCUUUCUAAUCUCCAGAGCCGCAGUUCCAUCCUCUGGGUCAGCGGCUUACCCUGACUGGGCUGCGGUAUCUGCCUUCCUUCCCCCAACAAGGCGACAGGUAGUCGGGGCUGGGGCCGGAACUGACUGAGUGGGCCGCAACUGACUGAGUGGGCCGCGGCUCCCGCCUGAGGAGGCUAGGAAGGACUGAACAGCAGCCGACUUCCCAGGCUCUAAAAAUCGUGCCUCUGAGUUAGAGCUACCUCAAAAGCAAGACCAAGCAUGAGAAAUGGAGUCUUUUGGCCAGUAUUGGGGUGUUCGGAAUUCAAGCGUAUGAGAGAGUGGACGGUAGCGUUGAGAAUUUUCAUUUGAAGAUCUCGUCUUAACCACCCCAAGUGUAGUCAGAGGCGGCGUUUUCCCUGCGAGAGUGCCCUGGAACAAAGCAAGGAUAGCGUGGGUUAGACAUACCUGAAAUGAAAGCGUCUUACUUUAUCUAGGUACAUAUUUGCGUCAGUAAGGCGCAACGCCAUUUCUCUCUUGGAAUUCAGAAGUGAAAUAUGGUGACUGGGACGCCUGUACAUUGCUUUGACUUAAAAAUUGAAGUCCAUUAUUCUGACCGAAAGUUAAUCUGAUGAUUAAUUGGUUAAACAUACUAUCGUUGCUAAUUAGCAUAAUUAUUAUUUACAAUAAAGUGAGCUAAAUAGCUACAACUAAAAUAUAUUUAAAUUACUGUGAUAUUGUGAUGCUAAAGAUGUGUUGAAAUUAAUAUCUUGAAUUUCUCAACCCUGCCUAAAUGCCUCUGAGAGUAAUUAGUAUAAUUAAAAGUCACUAGAGAAAGUGAAUGACUCUAAUAACAGGAUAACAAAUUCUUUUCAAGUCAGAUGGUUUCCAGUUCUUUGCUUUCAACAAAAUUAAUGGUGGCCCAUGAAUUGUCAGCUGAUGAAGGAACACUAUUUGGUUUUUGGCAUGCAACUCGGAAAGAAACCAAACGAUUGAUUGACAUGCUUACAACAAAACUACUAGCAUUCUCACCUAUUUAUGUAAAACCAUUUCUCAGCACUUGUAUCUGUGAAAACAACAGAAUUGAAAAUGAACCCUGUUAAUCUACCAGUAGGAACUAUUCAUCCAGAUAAAUGAAUUAAUUGGUGGGUCAGCCCCAUCUAUCUCACUAAGAGAUGUGUUCCCAAUAGAAUUUCACCUUUUAUAACUGUGUGUUAUCAAUAUUUGCAAUCGUGUCAUUUUGAUCCAUUAUAUACUAAAGAUGAUUGUGAUGAUUACUCACUUCAGAAGAAUUCCAGCGUAGAGCCAUAAAGUUACACGAAAUUUUUUAAGGUUUACUACAUAUGUCAUAUUUUUAUUGCGAAGAAGUGAUCAAGAAAAGGUUGUUCAAACAUCAAAGUACUAUAUUUGAAUAACAUUUUUUGUUAGAGUACAAUCUAAAUAUGUUAGAGAUAAUAAAAGAACAAUGUUGAAGAGCUCAU